UGGCUCCCCUCCAAUCCGUCUCAAUCCCAACGCCCCUCCCAGGAGGACAUGCAACGACAAGCGUUGGCGCGUCGUCGCGGGUGGCAGCGAGGAGGACGGCCCAUGGCAGCCCCCGAAGCACCACCACGAUAGCACCUCGCCGCGGCCCCUCGGCAUGGGUUGGCGCCCCCCGUCCAAGAGAUGGGAGUAGAUGCACUACAAGAGGGAUAGGAGCUCGUUGAUCAUCAGGCUUAUAAGUAUCUCCUUGCUGAAUAUCAGG